UUUACUAUUUUCAUAUAUCUAGAUAGAUAAUGAAACAUCUUAAAAAAUAGAAGGGGGAGGUGUGUUGUGAUCUGGGAACCAGUCACAUUAUUCAUUUAUGAUAACCAGUCUAAUAGAAGCUGAUGUAGGGAACCAGCUAGCAGGAAACAGACAGACUUUGACUGACCACGACUGAGACCUGACGGACUUAUUACUUCUUGACGAUCAUCUUAUAUCCAUCAUCAUCCGAUACAUAGAUUCGACGCUAGUGCUCAUCUUUAUCAGAAUUAGUGCGUAUUUCAUGCAUAUUACAUUCCGACGUUAACCGGAAGUGACGUUUCAUUGACCGGAAGUGGCGUGUUCAUCGCCAUAAGUUGGGGAAUAUUCAGCUCUCCUAUACCUGAGGGCGCCAGUUGCUGACUUUUGACGGUGAAGAUGACAGAUUCCGAGUCUUUGGAAGGGAGCCCAAAAAGGUCAUGGAAAGAAACAGAACGGAUAAUUCCAAUUAAUCCCGAUGAUAUUGUACGGGAAAUGGAAACCUUAUGUUCUCGCAAAGUACAGAUGCCAUCUGCCAAAUUAUUGAUCUUUCAAUUAGGUUUGGUCAAGGACCAAGAAAAGAUUAAUAGGAUUGUUACAG